GGGCAAAAUUUUCCGUUUCAAUACGAGUCUAUACAUAUAUUUUAUUUGUUAAUGAAUGGAUAUAUUUUAUUAAAUGUGGUGCUCACACUAAAAGUAGUUUUACGGCAAGCGAUAAUUGCGUCCUUUUUCAUCACAAACAGUAAAAAACGUACAGAUAACAUAUUUUUAUUAAAAUCUUAAAUCAUUUUUAAUACUUAUAUCGCUAUUAUGAUCAUCAUCAUAAUCGCUGACAUGAAUAAUUAAAGAGUCUGCGACUGUGUCAAUCAAAUGGUCGAAAGAGUUUUAAAAGGUUUCCUAAACCUGAAGGUGGACUAGCGGCUAUAGCAAUUACAUAAAACGUAAAUAAUACUUGAAAACAUUGUGUUUAUCUGUAUAAGAGUAAACAUAUAAUGAAACUAUAAAUGACACCGCACAUCAAAAUUACAUAAUCCAAAUUCAAAUGCAGUGCAUCAUAGACAAGUAUAAGUGGACAGCAUCACGACCUUCCAACAGUCACUUGGGUGAGAUACUCGGAUGGCAUAGUUGACGGAGAAAAAAGUGCUUUUCAAACAAGUUUUGAUAUGGGAUAUGAAGAAGGAUUUUCUUUUGGAUUUUUUAUUAGUAGUCAAAACAUGUUGCGAGACACAUU